GCCCAGGUGGUGAAACUGGUAGACACGCCAUCUUGAGGGGGUGGUUCCGUAAGGUGUAGGGGUUCGAGUCCCCUUCUGGGCACAA
rnacentral:tRNA from 1 species